UCGAGCUCCCACCAAUUCAGCUUCAACACAAACCAUGUUCCCUGCAUCUCUGCUGCUGCUGUUGACAGCUGCAUCAUGUGUACACUGUGGUCUUGAGCUCACACAACCAAGCUCAUUGGAUGUAAAGCCUGGAGAGUCUUUGAGCAUCACCUGUAAAGUCUCUGGGUAUUCUCUGACUGAUAGCAGCAACGUCUAUGGAAUAGGCUGGAUCCGUCAGCCUGUAGGAAAAGCACUUGAAUGGAUUUGGACCAUCUAUUAUGAUGGAAGCUCAAACUCUCAAAGUUCCCUAAAAGACAGGUUCAGUGUCACAAGAGACACUUCUAGCAAUACUGUGUCUUUGAAAGGACAGAGUCUGCAGACUGAAGACACAGCUGUGUAUUAUUGUGCUCGGUAG